ACGCUAUCACUCCUACGGGAGGCAGCAGUGGGAAUAUUGCACAAUGGGCGCAAGCCUGAUGCAGCCAUGCCGCGUGUGUGAAGAAGGCCUUCGGGUUGUAAAGCACUUUCAGUUGUGAGGAAGGUGGUGUCGUUAAUAGCGGCAUCAUUUGACGUUAGCAACAGAAGAAGCACCGGCUAACUCCGUGCCAGCAGCCGCGGUAAUACGGAGGGUGCGAGCGUUAAUCGGAAUCAUUGGGUUUAAAGGGUCCGCAGGCGGACGUAUAAGUCAGUGGUGAAAGCCUACAGCUUAACUGUAGAACUGCCAUUGAUACUGUAUGUCUUGAAUUCGGUCGAAGUGGGCGGAAUGUGUCAUGUAGCGGUGAAAUGCAUAGAUAUGACACAGAACACCGAUAGCGAAGGCAGCUCACUAGGCCUGAAUUGACGCUCAGGGACGAAAGCGUGGGGAGCGAACAGGAUUAGAUACCCUGGUAG
rnacentral:rRNA from 1 species